CGUGCUGAGGUCGCAGUUGUCUGUCCUUCCCCUGGGGAUGUCGUUGACUGCAGCCGUCUCAGGCUUGCGUGGCUUCUCUCUGCCCGGUGUUGCCAUCCUCGCAGCGCGGGGGCGAAAAGGGACACACAGAGCCCUUCCCGGCUGUGGACAGGAGCUGCCUCGGCUGAAGCUGGAGACGCCAACGAAAGGUAAAGCAGAAGAAACUGAAGGCGCUCUGGCUGCCAGCUGCCUUCCUGCCGCAGGCGAGAGAGAGCCUGUCCCUGCAGGUGGAAGACGGCCAAGUGACUGGUGUUGCAGAAGGGGGGGAGGAGAGAAGGGAAGAGAAACAUUUGGACCGCUAAAUUCUCCUAGCAGCACUGAGAGCGAGAGUCGCAGUUUUCCUGUGAUGGGAGCAGAGCGUCGGGGCAUCCAUGGACAGAGCGUCGGGCACCCUCCUGUGUUUGCAGGGUGACCCUGAGGAAGCGUUAUCUGUGGGUCAAUUGCAUGAGUAUAUUUUGUGGGUGUGCUAAUCUCUUUCAGAGUUUGUCUGAGGGUAAGGA